GGACCGGUAGCUCAGCUGGAUAGAGCAACUGCCUUCUAAGCAGUAGGUCAUUGGUUCGAAUCCAAUCCGGUUCA
rnacentral:tRNA from 7 species